GGAAGCGUGCCGGAGUGGUUGAACGGGGCAGUCUUGAAAACUGCUAUACCCGCAAGGGUAUCGGAGGUUCGAAUCCUCCCGCUUCCG
rfam:Candidatus Sungbacteria bacterium RIFCSPLOWO2_01_FTLL_59_16 rifcsplowo2_01_scaffold_6248, whole genome shotgun sequence.